rnacentral:rRNA from 1 species
UACAGAGGGGGCGAGCGUUGUUCGGAAUUACUGGGCGUAAAGGGCGCGUCGGCGGCCCGCUAAGUCGAACGUGAAAUCCCCCGGCUUAACCUGGGAACCGCGUCUGAUACUGGAGGGCUUGAGUGCGGGAGAGGGAUGUGGAAUUCCAGGUGUAGCGGUGAAAUGCGUAGAUAUCUGGAGGAACACCGGUGGCGAAGGCGGCAUCCUGGACCGACACUGACGCUGAGGCGCGAAAGCUAGGGUAGCAAACGGG